CCGAGAUGGCGAAGUUCCUUGUCCCCGGCGUUGCCAGCGCUGUGAUCGGUGCAGUGGUCGGCGCCGGUGCCGUUCUCGGCGUCACCGC
rnacentral:tRNA from 2 species